UUCCCGGUGAUCCUGCCGGACCCGACUGCUAUCGGAUUGAGAUUUAGCCAUGCGAGUCGAACGUCCCCCUGUUGCGGGGGGCGUGGCGUACGGCUCAGUAACACGUAGUCAACCUGCCCUGGAGACAAGGACAACCCCGGGAAACUGGGAUUAAUCCUUGAUAGGUCAUCUCAUCUGGAAGGAGAGAUGGCUUAAAGGGGUACGCGGGCUUCUUCCGCGAAUUCGCUCCAGGAUGGGACUGCGUCCGAUCAGGCUGUUGGCGGGGUAAUGGCCCACCAAACCUGUAACCGGUACGGGCCUUGAGAGAGGUGGCCCGGAGAUGGACACUGAGAGAAGGGUCCAGGUCCUACGGGGCGCAGCAGGCGCGAAACCUUCGCAAUGCGCGAAAGCGUGACGAGGUUAAUCCGAGUGACUCCCGCUGAGGGGGUCUUUUGUCAGCUGUAAAUAGGCAGGCGAAUAAGGGGAGGGCAAGCCUGGUGUCAGCCGCCGCGGUAAUACCAGCUCCUCGAGUGGUCGGGGCGAUUAUUGGGCCUAAAGCAUCCGUAGCCGGUUCCGUAGGUCCUCUGUUAAAUCCAACCGCUCAACGGUUGACCUGCAGAGGAUACCGCGGGACUAGGAGGCGGGAGAGGCGGACGGUACUCCGCGUGUAGGGGUAAAAUCCUUUGAUCCGCGGAAGACCACCAGUGGCGAAGGCGGUCCGCCAGAACGCGCUCGACGGUGAGGGAUGAAAGCUGGGGGAGCGAACCGGAUUAGAUACCCGGGUAGUCCCAGCCGUAAACGAUGCUAGCUAGAUGAUUCAUUCGCAAGUCGCGAAUGAAGUGUCGCAGGGAAGCCGUUAAGCUAGCCGCCUGGGGAGUACGGUCGCAAGACUGAAACUUAAAGGAAUUGGCGGGGGAGCA
rnacentral:rRNA from 1 species